UACAGAGGGUGCAAGCGUUAUUCGGAAUUAUUGGGCAUAAAGCGCAUGUAGGUGGUUUGGUAAGUCUGAUGUGAAAUCCCCGGACUCAAUUCGGGAAGUGCAUUGGAUACUGCCAGACUGGAGUAUGGGAGAGGUGAGCGGAAUUCCAGGUGUAGAGGUGAAAUUCGUAGAUAUCUGGAGGAACAACAGAGGCGAAGGCGGCUCACUGGACCAUUACUGACACUGUGAUGCGAAAGCGUGGGGAGCAAACAGG
rnacentral:rRNA from 1 species